UACGGAGGGGGCUAGCGUUGUUCGGAAUUACUGGGCGUAAAGCGCACGUAGGCGGAUUGGAAAGUCAGAGGUGAAAUCCCAGGGCUCAACCUUGGAACUGCCUUUGAAACUAGAUUGCUAGAAUCCUGGAGAGGUUAGUGGAAUUCCGAGUGUAGAGGUGAAAUUCGUAGAUAUUCGGAAGAACACCAGUGGCGAAGGCGACUGAACUGGACAGGUAUUGA
rnacentral:rRNA from 1 species